rnacentral:rRNA from 1 species
AUUGAACGCUGGCGGCAGGCCUAACACAUGCAAGUCGAACGGUAACAGGAAGAAGCUUGCUUCUUUGCUGACGAGUGGCGGACGGGUGAGUAAUGUCUGGGAAACUGCCUGAUGGAGGGGGAUAACUACUGGAAACGGUAGCUAAUACCGCAUAACGUCGCAAGACCAAAGAGGGGGACCUUCGGGCCUCUUGCCAUCGGAUGUGCCCAGAUGGGAUUAGCUAGUAGGUGGGGUAACGGCUCACCUAGGCGACGAUCCCUAGCUGGUCUGAGGGGAUGACCAGCCACACUGGAGCUGAGACCCGGCCCAGACUCCUACGGGAGGCAGCAGUGGGGAAUAUUGCACAAUGGGCGCAAGCCUGAUGCAGCCAUGCCGCGUGUAUGAAGAAGGCCUUCGGGUUGUAAAGUACUUUCAGCGGGGAGGAAGGGAGUAAAGUUAAUACCUUUGCUCAUUGACGUUACCCGCAGAAGAAGCACCGGCUAACUCCGU